CCAAAGGCUCUUUUCAGAGCCACUCACAAGAUCGAGAAAGGGUGU
rfam:Ovis aries breed Texel chromosome 5, whole genome shotgun sequence.